AUGCAAGUCGAGGGGCAGCGAGGGAGUGGCAACACUUCUAGUCGGCGACCGGCGCACGGGUGAGUAACGCGUAUGCAACCUGCCCUUCACAGGGGGAUAACCGGGAGAAAUUCCGACUAAUACCGCAUACGUCCUCCGGGGGCAUCCCCGGGGGAUUAAAGAUUUAUCGGUGAUGGAUGGGGAUGCGUCUGAUUAGCUUGUUGGCGGGUAACGGCCCACCAAGGCGACGAUCAGUAGGGGUUCUGAGAGGAAGGUCCCCACAUUGGAACUGAGACACGGUCCAAACUCC
rnacentral:rRNA from 1 species